rnacentral:rRNA from 1 species
CUACGGGUGGCUGCAGUGGGGAAUAUUGCACAAUGGGCGCAAGCCUGAUGCAGCCAUGCCGCGUGUAUGAAGAAGGCCUUCGGGUUGUAAAGUACUUUCAGCGGGGAGGAAGGGAGUAAAGUUAAUACCUUUGCUCAUUGACGUUACCCGCAGAAGAAGCACCGGCUAACUCCGUGCCAGCAGCCGCGGUAAUACGGAGGAGUGCAAGCGUUAAUCGGAAUUACUGGGCGUAAAGCGCACGCAGGCGGUUUGUUAAGUCAGAUGUGAAAUCCCCGGGCUCAACCUGGGAACUGCAUCUGAUACUGGCAAGCUUGAGUCUCGUAGAGGGGGGUAGAAUUCCAGGGGUAGCGGUGAAAUGCGUAGAGAUCUGGAGGAAUACCGGUGGCGAAGGCGGCCCCCUAGACGAAGACUGACGCUCAGGUGCGAAAGCGUGGGGAGCAAACAGGAUUAGAUACCCUGGUAGUC